rnacentral:rRNA from 1 species
GACGAACGCUGGCGGCGUGCUUAACACAUGCAAGUCGAACGAUGAAGGAGAGCUUGCUCUCCGGAUUAGUUGCGCACGGGUGAGUAACACGUGACUAACAUGCUCCUUUCUCUGGGAUAACGCUCCGAAAGGAGUGCUAAUACAGGAUACGAACUCUGAACACAUGUUAAUGUUUGGAAAGCAUGUCGGAAAGGGAUUGAGUCGCGGCCUAUGGUCUUGUUGGUGAGGUAACGGCUCAGCAAGGCGACGACGGGUAGCCGGCCGGAGAGGGCGACCGGCCACACUGGGACUGAGACACGGGCCAGACCCCUACGGGAGGCAGCAGUGGGGAAUAUUGGACAAUGGGCGAAAGCCUGAUGCAGCGACGCCGCGUGAGGGAUGAAGGUCUUCGGAUUGUAAACCUCUUUCAGUAGGGACGAAGCGAAAGUGACGGUACCUAAAGAAGAAGCACCGGCUAACUACGUGCCAGCAGCCGCGGUAA